rnacentral:rRNA from 1 species
UGGGGAAUAUUGCGCAAUGGGCGAAAGCCUGACGCAGCGACGCCGCGUGAGGGAUGAAGGUCUUCGGAUCGUAAACCUCUGUCAGGAGGGAAGAACCGCCACGGUGCUAAUCAGCCGUGGUCUGACGGUACCUCCAAAGGAAGCACCGGCUAACUCCGUGCCAGCAGCCGCGGUAAUACGGAGGGUGCGAGCGUUAAUCGGAAUCACUGGGCGUAAAGCGCACGUAGGCUGCUUGGUAAGUCAGGGGUGAAAGCCCGCGGCUCAACCGCGGAAUUGCCUUUGAUACUGCCGAGCUUGAGUCCGGGAGAGGGUAGUGGAAUUCCAGGUGUAGGAGUGAAAUCCGUAGAUAUCUGGAGGAACAUCAGUGGCGAAGGCGACUACCUGGACCGGUACUGACGCUGAGGUGCGAAAGCGUGGGGAGCAAACAG